UGGGGAAUCUUGCGCAAUGCGCGAAAGCGUGACGCAGCAACGCCGCGUGGGGGAAGAAGGCCUUCGGGUUGUAAACCCCUUUCAGGAGGGACGAAGCCCGGGCGGUUAAUAGCCGACUCGGGUGACGGUACCUCCAGAAGAAGCCCCGGCUAACUACGUGCCAGCAGCCGCGGUAAUACGUAGGGGGCAAGCGUUGUCCGGAAUCAUUGGGCGUAAAGAGCGUGUAGGCGGUCCGGUAAGUCGGCUGUGAAAGUCCAGGGCUCAACCCUGGGAUGCCGGUCGAUACUGCCGGACUAGAGUUCGGAAGAGGCGAGUGGAAUUCCCGGUGUAGCGGUGAAAUGCGCAGAUAUCGGGAGGAACACCUAUGGCGAAGGCAGCUCGCUGGGACGUUACUGACGCUGAGACGCGAAAGCGUGGGGAGCAAACA
rnacentral:rRNA from 1 species